rnacentral:rRNA from 1 species
UACGUAGGGGGCAAGCGUUGUCCGGAUUUAUUGGGCGUAAAGAGCGUGUAGGCGGUUCGGUAGGUCCGUUGUGAAAACUCGAGGCUCAACCUCGAGACGCCGAUGGAAACCCCCGAACUAGAGUCCGGAAGAGGAGAGUGGAAUUCCCGGUGUAGCGGUGAAAUGCGCAGAUAUCGGGAAGAACACCAAUGGCGAAGGCAGCUCGCUGGGACGGUACUGACGCUGAGACGCGAAAGCGUGGGAGCAACAGG